AUGAACGCUGGCGGCGUGCCUAAUACAUGCAAGUCGAGCGAACAGACGAGGAGCUUGCUCCUCUGACGUUAGCGGCGGACGGGUGAGUAACACGUGGAUAACCUACCUAUAAGACUGGGAUAACUUCGGGAAACCGGAGCUAAUACCGGAUAAUAUAUUGAACCGCAUGGUUCAAUAGUGAAAGACGGUUUUGCUGUCACUUAUAGAUGGAUCCGCGCCGCAUUAGCUAGUUGGUAAGGUAACGGCUUACCAAGGCAACGAUGCGUAGCCGACCUGAGAGGGUGAUCGGCCACACUGGAACUGAGACACGGUCCAGACUCCUACGGGAGGCAGCAGUAGGGAAUCUUUCGCAAUGGGCGAAAGCUUGACGGAGCAACGCCGCGUGAGUGAUGAAGGUCUUCGGAUCGUAAAACUCUGUUAUUAGGGAAGAACAAAUGUGUAAGUAACUAUGCACGUCUUGACGGUACCUAAUCAGAAAGCCACGGCUAACUACGUG
rnacentral:rRNA from 1 species